rnacentral:tRNA from 2 species
UAACUUUAGGUGUAAUUGCACAAAAAAUUUUGAAUUUUUAAGAAAUAAUUAACUUUAUUAAAGUUAA